AAGGCUGUCCCUGCCAGGUAUCAGUUUCUUCCCCUGACAGGGAUGGUCAGCAGGGGGGUCACACCUCAUUAAGGUCUGCCAUGUGUCUGUCUGUCUUCAAUUACAUGAACCAAGGAGGUUUAAAAAAUGUUUUUCCACUGGACCUUUAUUUACUGUAUUCCCUUUGUGAGUUUGUCCAAACAGAUAGGGAAAUUUGAGAGUAUACAUGAUAUAUAUAUAUAUAUAUAUUGGUUUGGCCAAGGAGAUUUCAUGUAUAGGAAAUAACCUCCUUGAUAUAGUAUGGUAUGGUAUGAUAUGCUAUGACAGCAUGAUAAGUGGAGGUCCAGUAGGCAGUAACAAAACUUUUGUAACAUGACUUUUUAGACAACAAUGUUGCAGCCCC